GAUGAAGAACGCAGCGAAAUGCGAUAAGUAAUGUGAAUUGCAGAAUUCAGUGAAUCAUCGAAUCUUUGAACGCACAUUGCGCCCGCCAGUAUUCUGGCGGGCAUGCCUGUUCGAGCGUCAUUUCAACCAUCAAGCCCCCGGCUUGUGUUGGGGACCUGCGGCUGCCGCAGGCCCCGAAAACCAGUGGCGGGCUCGCUAGUCACUCCGAGCGUAGUAAUACAUCUCGCUCAGGGCGUGCUGCGGGUUCCGGCCGUUAAAAGCCUUAUUUACCCAAGGUUGACCUCGGAUCAGGUAGGAAGACCCGCUGAACUUAAGCAUAUCAAUAAGCGGAGGA
rnacentral:misc_RNA from 1 species